CAACUUUCAGCAGUGGAUGUCUAGGCUCGCACAUCGAUGAAGAAUGCUGCGAACUGCGAUACGUAAUGCGAAUUGCAGGAUUCAGUGAGUCAUCGAAAUUUUGAACGCAUAUUGCACUUUCGGGUUAUGCCUGGAAGUAUGCCUGUAUCAGUGUCCGUA
rnacentral:rRNA from 1 species